UAAAAGCAACUUCACAAACAUCAUGCUGUAAAUUCCAGUAUACCUACUAGCAGUAGUCCACACAUUUGGCUCUCCACUUUCUGAAAGUGACCAAAAUAAGGUAAACAUGAUUAGUUACAAGCUUCACAGUGAUCAUAGAACACAAAGAAGCCACUUAACAGCAGCACCAGCAAUACCCGGAAUAAAGAGGGGUGAAGAGGAGCAUGUAACUACUGGGGACAGUAUCCUCGGUCCCGCCUUUUACAGUAUAUGAAUUCACUGGUCUGAGCACCAUUUUCUCAUCUACAAAAUGAGGGUAAAAUAUUGUCUUCAAAAAGUGGUUACAAUGAUAUGUGAAAUAUAUCUCAAUAAAGCUUUUUAAAAAAUUGUUGUAAAUAUUGAAAUAACACAAAUCCCCAAUGAACAUCAGUUGCUGCUUAAAAUGAUAAUUCUUCUCUGUUUUUCACUUCUGUGCCAAUUCCGUUGAUCUUAGCCAAUGUAAUGAGUGGUUACUGACAAAGAUAUGUAAAGAAUAUUGGAAAAGAGGAAACA
rnacentral:lncRNA from 1 species